CUUAAUUACAAAAACCAUUUAAGCCUUUCAUAUAGGUAAAUACAAUAAUGGAAGAUUAACAAACCAAAAAUCAGUAAGAGUGCCCGUCUAAUCUACGUACAGUAGCAGCCAAAAGUAAAAAAAAAACGUCCUUAGAUACGAGUCCAUAAGCACAAGAAAUGAGUAAACUGCCAUUUUGGUCCCUGAGGUUUGGGUGAACGUUAGUUUGGGCAGCCGACUAUAGCUCUAGCCCGCAGUUAACAUGGAGAU
rnacentral:lncRNA from 1 species